CCAGUCCCCGGCCGGAUCCGGCCCCAGCGCGGCGCCGGCCCCGCGUCCCCGCUCUCCUCCCUUCGCCGGUCCGGGCGCCCCGACCCCCUUCCCAGCCCGGUCUCCGCCUCCUCUCUUGCCGUCCCCUUCUCCUUCUCGCCCUGCUCCUCCGUCGUCUUUCCCACCCGCUCUCCCCCGUCGUCCCCUCUCCUCCCGCCCUGCCCCUCCUGUUCUCCGUCCCGCUCAAGCCUUUUCUCUCCAUCCCCACUCCCUUCCUCGGCCCCAUCUCCCGGCCUUUCCUGCCUGCCGCCGUGCCUCGUCCUCCUCAGGGACCCUCCUUCGAAACUCAGCCUGUUUUCCCCACCAGAUUUUCCCCAUGUCCUCUGCCUGCCCUUCGCCCUUCCCGGUGCCCCCCUCCCUUUUCACCUCUUUCUCUCCAGCCCUUCUCCCCGUCCCGUUCUCCCUGUCUCCUCCCCAUCACCCCGUCCUUCCCCGGAAACCUUCUGUCAUCUCUCUUUCCCCAUCCUCUUCUUCCAUCUUAACAUCUGCAUCCCUCCUCCCAGUCCCGUCUCUUUACCCCCUGCUCUUCAUUCCUUUUCCCUUCUUCAUCGUCUCCUUCUCCUUCCCUCACUUCCUUUUUCAUCCCAAAGUUGAGGCUCCAGAUGGCGGCUUAUUGGAAUGAAGAGAUUUGGGGACGGUGGCCUGACUCGGGGUCUACUCCCCAGAAACGGAAAAUGAGAUGGGAACUGGGCUGCUUGCCAAACACCAACUGCCUUCCCGUGAUGCAAGUGGGACCUGUGACUUGGGAUAAAGUUUCCGAUGACUGCAUCACACGUGGAUUCACAUUGUGCUGUGUCCUCUCGCAGAUUCUUCACUUAGACUCAAGAGAAGGUCAUCUGUUCUGGAAAAUAGGUGAUGUUCCCUUAGUAUUUGCUACGUGAGCCACUGAGGGAGGAGGUUGCUCUUCCGGAAUAAAGAGAGAAGGGCAGUGAGACAGCAGGAAAAAGGACCACGACCCAAUGAGCGAAGCAAGAAAAGAGAGAAGGGCUCCCGCCGGACCCGCCCCCGGAGGCCCGACCUGACCGGAGCAAGAGGGUCCCUCCGCUCACCUUCUCCGCGUAGCCCCUCAGCUCGUCC